UGUUUGCCAGUGUGGUUUCUUUAUUUUUAGUAGUUCCUGGUAAGGGCUGAAUCCAUCCAUGUGCAAAAGAUCCCAACUGACAGAGAGGGGAGGCAUGCAUGUGUUUCAAGACAUGUGCCUGGGGUGGCUGUGGUUAUGUAAGGGCUCUUUUGACAUGGCCAAUUACAUAAAAUGGAAAUCCAAGGGAGGAAGGCAGUGCUUGAACACAGAGAAGGAAUCUGGCUGCAGUAGUGGAGCUGGAGUCACUGCAGGUGCUGGGAAUGAAGCAGAAGGAGGGUCUCCAGGCUGGUACAUUUAAGCCUGUCCAGGAAUCACCAGGCGCUGCUGACUUGGAGCAAGUGCAGCAGGAAUCCUCCUGCUGCAGCCCUGUGCUGGAUGCAGGCAGAUGGCAAUGCCCCUGCAGGCACCAGGCACACGAGGCCACGCAGCAGCACAGGUCAGCAGACACAGCCUUUGGAAAUCUGCCUCUCUUGGUUGCAUUUCAAACUAAAAUGUGUUCAGUGAGCUGCAGGACAGAGGGCAGGGGCAGCUCUGCCGUGGCAGCAGUAGGAGGGGGCAGUGCUAGUGCUGGUUUAAUGUGUGUGGGCACAGCCCAGAGAGGCCAUGGCAGGAAUGCCCAGUGGAGUGAAUGCUUCAGCUCAGCUCCCAGGGCAGGACUCACUGCUCUGAGAUCCCUGAAGCUGGCACAGGGCAUUGAGAAGGGCUUUUCUCAGUGAAAAUGAAGUUUAGAAUUGUUUGGGCAGGUAGUAGGUGAUCAGCCCAAAUCCAAACACGGACUCUGCUCAGCAUACAAGGACCACUACAGCGUGCUCACCUUUUCCACAGGUAACACUCUUGCUCUGGCUGCUUUCCUGGUGCAAGGGCACUGUGCCUGCCAGUGGGAAGGGAGACAGACUGGAGGUUUGUGCCACUUGGCCUGCCCUACUGAAUUUCAGACAAGAAAUCAGAGCUCUCCCAUGAGAAAGCCAUAAUCCAUAUGUAAUUCUUUGUUUCAACCUGUGUCAACCUUUCCAAGUGUAAAGAUCAGCACUGUGUCUGAAAAGGUCACAAAGGGCUAAAUUUUGUUCCUAGAGCAAAUCUAUCAUCCCUUGCUGAGCAAUUUCCCACGAGCCACGGUGUCUGUGCAGCUUGUGGCACAGGCUCAGGAUGUGGUGACCCCUCUCUGACAUCUCUUCUUCAUGAGGCUCCUGCAUUUCACACUGCACUGCCGAGGGCCGUGCCACGUCCUGCUGCUGCUGCAGUCACCAGCUCCAGCAGCUGAAAGGAGCACCCUCGUCUGGGGUGGGUGUCAGAUCUGACAGGGUUUAAAAAGGUUUUCUUCUGAAGGGGAGGCACACGUUUCCCACCUUCUGGUUGAUAAGCACGGGGCUGAACCAGGGCACCGGUGGCUGUGUGAGCAGGGCACGGUGCCUGUCCCAGCCCUGGCUGCUUUCCGUGCAUUCCCUACAGAUGGUGCUGCGCUGCCACCGAAAGAUCAAGGCAUGGAACAGAGGUUUCAGGGACAUCCCCUGCUCCCUGCACUUUCCCCCACGGUGUUCCCGUUGAAUUGGAGCGGGUUUUGUUUUCCCCACAACAACCUGCACAGGCUUCAUCUGGCUUCAGUGAUUAUCCCUGCCAGCCCAGCAGCAUCUGGCGGGCAGGAUCCAUCCUGCCCUUACAGCACUGUCAGUGGAUCACUGUGGGUCUCAGAUUCAAAGUUUCUCUAAACUGAGAGUUUCUAACCAGGCAGAAGCCUGGGAAUCUGUUGGAAAAGAAUGUAAAUAAGAGGUUUAUCUCCUUAUUGUUCACAUUGUUUAUACUUCUAUCACUGUGCAUCAAGAAGUCUGCACCAAUGGUGUAAGUUGUUUCAGGACCUAUGGAAUCGGUCUGCACGAAGCUCUGUAUAGAGUGGUGCAUUUUGAAUUAAAUCAGAGUUUUACUCUCACAGCCUUCUGAGUCAGAGUCUUUUCAUUCCUGUCCUGCUUCAACAGCGUCAGGCCACGGCUCUGGCCUUGGUGAGGCUGCAGUUCCACUCUGCCUCUGGUUUUGGGGAUUUUGGCCUCUGCUUGCACAGCCACUGAACCCCAGUAGGGAGGACAGGGUGCCACCUGUGUCACCUGGUCUCAGUGGCACAGGGCACAAUGUCUCUUCAAGAGUGUAACUACACUGCUGCAUCCUGGGGAAUACACAUGACGUUGUGUUUAACACAGCUUGGCUCUGCCUGCAGCCAGUGAGGCUCCCUGGGUUAGGAAAGGCUGCAUGGACCUUCCUGUCCCUUCUCUCUCCAGCCUCCCCUGCAGCGAGGAGCUCCCUUGCCCUGGCUUGGAGAGACGGAGAUUCCUUUUUCCCUGCACACUGAAGUCUUGCUGCUUUUGGUACAGCCUCUCUCAGGAGUAUCUAAAGCCAGAGGAUCCCUCAGGAAGGUGGAGAGGACAGAAGCCUGGGGAGGACUCUAGAUGUGCUGUGUGUGAUUUGGAUGAAGCCUAUGCAUAGCAGGGUGAGGAGCUGAUGGCCACGAGGAGCUGGGGCCAUCUGGGCCCUUUCAUCUACUCAUCUCUAGAAGAACUCCUGGUCCUUUCACAGGGGGAAUUGACAGGUCUGUUCCUUCCUCUCCAUCCCCAAAGAGGUGUUGGGAGGAUCCUGUGUCAGCUGUGGUUGUGAGUUGUGGUGGCAUUAACACUGGAGAGGUGGCAAGGCAGAGGCAGCAGCUGUGGCAGGGUGUUGAGAGGGUGGUGCUGGGAGCAGCAGCCAGCACAGGAUGUUUUCUGCCUUGCUCAGGCUGUUGUUUGUGCAGACCUGCACAAACACUCCAACCUGCUCACACACCUUCCUCGUGCUCCCUGCGUGCCAGCUUCUCUUGGCCCUGUGUCUUUGCAGUCUGCCUGCACUUGAUGAUGCAUUUACUGCCGUUGUACAAUAAUUGUGCUUAAAGAAGACAAUAUGGAAAAUGGGAAAAUACAUUCAAAGAACUGAACAAACUCACUUUACAGGAGUUCAUUAUGUUGCUACCCAGCCUUGCAGAGCCUGCGUGGCUCCCAUCACCAGGAAGCAUGGCUGAGAUGGGGGGAGCCAUGAACAGCCUCUCAAGGCACCCAUCAUGUCCAAUUAUUAAGAGACUCAAAAGCAGCUUGGGCAUUGAUCUGUGAGCUGGCAGCACUGUGCUGGCUAGCCAGGACUUUGAUUAAAUGAGUACCCAAUCUUUCAGGCCAAACUUCAUUCUCUUGCCAAAAACUAAAAUUGCCCUUUUGUAUCUCAGGCCAUGAAAUUAAGCGAUUCCUUUUCAGGUCAUGUGCACCCCUGAAAAGCACAGACCAGGCUGAUUCUCCAGAAACCCAGGGGAACCCUUGAAUAAAUGCGCAAUCAAGUGACUAGUUCCCCUAAUUAAUGCUGACAGUAAAAUUUGAUCCCCACCUCCGUGUAGAGGAAAUGAUGCUGAUAUCAAUUCAAUUUAGUUGAAAUUAUCUUUGGUGUAUGCAUGGCUGUGCUUUGGAAUAGUACAAAAUUUUGACUCUAUUCUCACAUGAAUGUUUUUCCAGUGCAUGCAGUGUUACUGAUUUCAGAAAAAAAAAAAUUCAAUGCUGUGUCCCUUCUUGGGCUGAGGUACUGUCCUGGAGGGUGGUGUUGAUAGGUUUGUUGUACUCAUGUGUGGCUGGUGAGAAACUCAGCAAGGCAGCCAAUCUCCUUUCUUCUUCUGCCUUCAGCCUGUGAACUCCAGCUUAUAGCACAAAGAGAUGCCAGGAAGAUACUUCCUGAGUGAGGUAUUGAUCAGUCUUGUGUCUAAGGCAGGCUUUGUCACAUACCUGCUUUGAGGAGAAGCAGGGUGAAUGUGCUUCCUCCACUCUGCCCUUACAGCAAUGCCAGUGGGCCAUGGCUCUGGUCUUGGUGGGGCUGAAGUUCCAUUCUGCCUCCUGGUUUUGGGGAUUUGGCUUCUUCCUGAGCAGUGAAACCCAGGAACUGGGUGGGUCUCUGCACAGGGUCUUGCUCCUGCAAAGCACCAAAGCUUUUGGGACUUGCCUGCCUGCCUGCUGCUCUGUGCAGGCUUUGUUGGGAUCUUGGCUAAUGCAUCCAGGAUUGAUGCUGGUGCAAGCCCAGAGCAGCUGCAUCACUGUUCAUGUGUCUGCUGCUGCAGUCAUCUGAGCCACUGACUGUUUGUCACAUGGGAACCUCCCAGAUGGGCCCUCUGGAGCUUCUCAUCUCUACUGGUGUCACCACAAACUCCUGGUGUCACCACAAACUCCUCUUCUUUUGGCCCAGCACAUCUGCACUAGCCCUGGAAUUCUUAGAGAUGAUAAUCCCCAGUUCAGGGAGGUUUGACAGUUCAAUUACCCUCUGCAGGUUUUCUGGGCCCAUAAAGUGAGAUUUUGACCUACGGCUUGUGUGCAAUAUGAUUUCUGCCUACGCCCAGUUUGCACUGCCCCUGGAGGCCUGAGGAGUGGGCGGCCCUGCUGGGAAUGUGGAGGGGUCUGUGAGGAGCAGUGCUGGCUGUGGCUGUGACAGGUGACAGGUGACACUGUACAGACCAGACAGGGUGUGAAGGCAGGCCAUGGAAGGCCAGGUUAGGCUCAGCUCUUGCAGGAAGCAGGAGCACCACCACAGCUGCCCUCUCCAGAGCGUGUCCCCAAGAUCCUGGAUCCCAAAGCUCAGGAGUUUUGCUCCCCAUGGCUCCUUCCCUCGCCCCUCUUCCCUUUACCAGUGUGGUGGUGGGUGAUGCCCUGACCCCACCGAGAUCCGGCCUACUGCCAGCCCACGCUGGGCAGUUUGGCCCAGGGGAGGGACACGAGUGAAGCAUCCGGUGCAGGGAGAGACGGGCUGUCCCAUAGGGGCUGGUGGCACUGUGUGACACCGGCUGGGCUGUCCCAUAGGGGCUGGUGGCACUGUGUGACACCGGCUGGGCUGUCCCAUAGGGGCUGGUGGCAGCAGCCAGGCUGUCCCAUAGGGGCUGGUGGCAGCAGCCAGGCUGUCCCAUAGGGGCUGGUGGCACUGGGUGGCAGCAGCCGGGCUGUCCCAUAGGGGCUGGUGGCACUGGGUGGCACUGACCGGGCUGUCCCGUGCCGGACCGGUGAUACUGGGUGGCACCGGCCGGGCUGUCCCAUCGGGGCUGGUGGCACCAGCCGGGCUGUCCCAUAGGGGCUGGUGGCACCAGCCGGGCUGUCCCAUAGGGGCUGGUGGCAUUGUGUGACACCGGCCGGGCUGUCCCAUAGGGGCUGGUGGCACCAGCCGGGCUGUCCCAUCGGGGCUGGUGGCACUAGGUGGCACCAUUGAAUCAGGAGCGAGGAUGGGACGUGCAGGACUCGGGAGCCAGCCGCGGCCUGCCCGGGGACCCGGGGAGAGCUGCCCCGCGGUGUCUGCAUGCAGCCGGGGCACCCGGUGCCAGGGCGGUCCGUCCCUCACGCUCAGCACCCGGCCCGGCGCUGCCCGGGCCC
ensembl:lncRNA